rfam:Aedes albopictus isolate Foshan contig42840, whole genome shotgun sequence.
GGCUUAGUAGGUUAGUUAGUAAAACAUUUGUCUAGCGCAUAAGGGCCAUGAGUUCAAAUCUCACCUGAGCUG